rnacentral:rRNA from 1 species
AAUAUUGGACAAUGGGGGCAACCCUGAUCCAGCCAUGCCGCGUGUGUGAAGAAGGUCUUCGGAUUGUAAAGCACUUUAAGUUGGGAGGAAGGGCUUUAGGCUAAUACCCUGAUGUUUUGACGUUACCAACAGAAUAAGCACCGUCUACCUCUGUGCCAGCAGCCGCGGUAAUACAGCGGGUGCAAGGGUUAAUCGGAAUUACUGGGCGUAAAGGGGGCGUAGGGGGGUCAGGAAGAUGGGGGGGAAAGCCCCGGGCUUAACCUGGGAACUGCUUUCAUAACUGCUGAGCUAGAGUACGGUAGAGGGUAGUGGAAUUUCCUGUGUAGCGGUAAAAUGCGUAGAUAUAGGAAGGAACACCAGUGGCGAAGGCGACUACCUGGACUGAUACUGACACUGAGGUGCGAAAGCGUGGGGAGCAAACAG